rnacentral:rRNA from 1 species
CAAAGAGUCGAGUUGUUUGGGAAUGCAGCUCAAAGUGGGUGGUAAAUUCCAUCUAAAGCUAAAUACCGGCGAGAGACCGAUAGCGAACAAGUACAGUGAUGGAAAGAUGAAAAGCACUUUGAAAAGAGAGUGAAACAGUACGUGAAAUUGUUGAAAGGGAAGGGCUUGCAAGCAGACACGGCCUCGUGCCGGGCCAGCAUCGGUUGCUAGGGGUGGAUAAGGAACAAGGAAUGUAGCUCCUCGGAGUAUUAUAGCCUUGCGCGAUACACCCACUGGCGACCGAGGCCUGCGGUAUUCCUACCUAGGAUGCUGGCGUAAUGGUUGCAAGCCGCCCGUCUUGAAACACGGACCAAGGAGUCUAACGUCUAUGCGAGUGUUUGGGUGGAUAAAACCCCAGCGCGGAAUGAAAGUAAGAGGUUGGAGCCCGCAUGGGCGCACAAUCGACCGACCCAGAAGUUUACGGACGGGUUUGAGUAGGAGCAUAGCUGUUGGGACCCGAAAGAUGGUGAACUAUACCUGGAUAGGGUGAAGCCAGAGGAAACUCUGGUGGAGGCUCGUAGCGGUUCUGACGUGCAAAUCGAUCGUCGAAUCUGGGUAUAGGGGCGAAAGACUAAUCGAAC